AGAGUUUGAUCCUGGCUCAGGAUAAACGCUGGCGGCGCACAUAAGACAUGCAAGUCGAACGGAAGUCGUUAUACAAGGAGAGAAGAUUUAUCGGAUUGAAUUAUAUAACAAUGGCUUUAGUGGCGGACUGGUGAGUAACGCGUAAGAAAUCUACCUAUCAGAGGGGAACAACAAUGAGAAAUCAUUGCUAAUACCGCAUAUGCCAUAAACAUCGCAUGAUGAAAGUGGGAAAGGAGCAAUCCGCUGAUAGAUGAUCUUGCGUCUGAUUAGUUAGUUGGUGGGGUAAUGGCCUACCAAGACGACGAUCAGUAGCCGGACUGAGAGGUUGAACGGCCACAUUGGGACUGAGAUACGGCCCAGACUCCUACGGGAGGCAGCAGUCGGGAAUAUUGCGCAAUGGAGGAAACUCUGACGCAGUGACGCCGCGUGCAGGAAGAAGGUUUUCGGAUUGUAAACUGCUUUAGACAGGGAAGAGAAAGGACAGUACCUGUAGAAUAAGCUCCGGCUAACUACGUGCCAGCAGCCGCGGU
rnacentral:rRNA from 1 species